rnacentral:rRNA from 1 species
UACGAAGGUGGCAAGCGUUGUUCGGAAUUAUUGGGCGUAAAGGGCGCGUAGGCGGACUUGAAAGUCGAUUGUGAAAUACCUAGGCUCAACCUGGGAACUGCAGUCGAAACUGUAAGUCUUGAAUGCUCGAGAGGAUGGUAGAAUUCCUGGUGUAGAGGUGAAAUUCGUAGAUAUCAGGAGGAAUACCGGAGGCGAAAGCGGCCAUCUGGCGAGACAUUGACGCUGAGGCGCGAAAGCGUGGGGAUCAAACAGG